rnacentral:tRNA from 2 species
GCCGUUGUAGCUCAAUGGCAGAGCAGCUGUAUCGUAAACAGCAGAUUAUCGGUUCAAAUCCGAUCAACGGCUCCA